UACAGAGGUCCCAAGCGUUGUUCGGAUUCACUGGGCGUAAAGGGUGCGUAGGUGGUUAGGUAAGUCCGAUGUGAAAUCUCCAGGCUCAACCUGGAAAUGGCAUUGGAUACUAUUUAGCUUGAGGAGUGGAGGGGGGACUGGAAUUCUCGGUGUAGCAGUGAAAUGCGUAGAUAUCGAGAGGAACACCAGUGGCGAAGGCGAGUCUCUGGACGACUCCUGACACUGAGGCACGAAAGCUAGGGGAGCAAACAGG
rnacentral:rRNA from 1 species